rnacentral:rRNA from 1 species
UACGGAGGGUGCAAGCGUUGCUCGGAAUUAUUGGGGCGUAAAGGGCAGGUAGGUGGUCUUAUUUGUCUGGGGUGAAAGCCUUGAGCUUAACUUGAGAAGUGCCUCAGAAACGGUAAGACUGGAGUCCUGGAGAGGGUCGUGGAAUUCCCGGUGUAGCGGUGAAAUGCGUAGAGAUCGGGAGGAACACCAGAGGCGAAGGCGGCGACCUGGACAGGAACUGACACUCAACUGCGAAAGCGUGGGGAGCAAACAGG